rnacentral:rRNA from 1 species
GAUGAAACGCUAGCUACAGGCUUAACACAUGCAAGUCGAGGGGAGACGAUAGAGAAAGCUUGCUUUUUCUAGGCGUCGACCGGCGCACGGGUGAGUAACGCGUAUCCAACCUGCCCACCACUUGGGGAUAACCUUGCGAAAGUAAGACUAAUACCCAAUGACGUCUCUAGAAGACAUCUGAAAGGGAUUAAAGAUUUAUCGGUGAUGGAUGGGGAUGCGUCUGAUUAGCUUGUUGGCGGGGUAACGGCCCACCAAGGCGACGAUCAGUAGGGGUUCUGAGAGGAAGGUCCCCCACAUUGGAACUGAGACACGGGUCCAAACUCCUACGGGAGGCAGCAGUGAGGAAUAUUGGUCAAUGGACGAGAGUCUGAACCAGCCAAAGUAGCGUGCAGGAUGACGGCCCUAAUGGGUUGGUAAACUGCUUUUAUAAGGGAAUAAAGUGAGCCUCGUGAGGCUUUUGC